GUAUGCCAAGGCUUCUUGGUCUUGGUGGAUUGUGGGUUUCCUGUGUUGCCUACCUAAGCAAUGGUAUUGCUCUGGUUGAUCCUAGUCCCUUUUCUUCUAGUGUCAUACCUAUGACAUUGGAUGAACCAUGAAGCGGUCUCUUUGACCCACCUUGUCAGCCAUUGUGUUGAUUUUGUGGCUCAUUGAGYGUCGCUUGGUAUCCUGGAUACAGAACAUGAUUUGAGCAUAUGGGGUCUCAUGGGGGCUUUGUGUCCUUCUCAUUCAGUAUGUGUGCUUCUCUUUGAAUGAUUGCCUCGCCCGCAAAGGCAUGUUCCCGCGGGGUGGUAUGACAAAGAGAAUUACCCUUCCUGUUUGAUAUGGGCAUGGUGUCUCAUGUCAUCCUUGUUUUGCUCUCAUUUAGCGUUCGCGCUUCUCUUCGAAUGACGGCCUUGCUCUUCUGGGCUUGUACCAGCGUGGGAGGCCAUGUCAAAGAGGAAUGC
rnacentral:misc_RNA from 1 species